UGGCGCCCGAACAGGGACCUGGAAACGAGGGACUCCGUGAGGAAGAGGACGCCAAAGGAUGGUUGACCGCUAACAAAGCCAAAAGAAAGUGACCUCUUCCGAUCACCGCGGGACCCUGCCGCGUCAGAAUCGAAGGUAAGUG
rfam:Chlorocebus sabaeus isolate 1994-021 chromosome 13, whole genome shotgun sequence.